rnacentral:rRNA from 1 species
GACAGAGGGUGCAAACGUUGUUCGGAUUUACUGGGCGUAAAGCGCGUGUAGGCGGCUUUGCAAGUCGGAUGUGAAAUCCCACGGCUCAACCGUGGAAGUGCAUCCGAAACUGCAUCGCUUGAGUCUCGGAGAGGAAGGUGGAAUGCUUGGUGUAGAGGUGAAAUUCGUAGAUAUCAAGCAGAACACCUGCGGCGAAGGCGGCCUUCUGGACGAUGACUGACGCUGAGACGCGAAAGCGUGGGGAGCAAACAGG